UCUCUUGUUGUGCGUCUCCCGUAAGCCUGCUCCCCUCCAGUAUAACGGCGACCGGGGCCUCGGGUCGGCCGUCGCCUGAUGCAAUCUUCUUCAACCUCACCAUUCAUCAAAAUCAUUCGCGUUUGGUACCUCAGCUUUCUGCAUGCAGUGCUGUAGGCAUCUUGAUUUCAACUUGUUAAUGAAGUCCCUUGCCCUGCAAAGGGAAUUCUGUUAGAACUCUGGGUUUGAUAUGCAUGUUAUGAGCCUUGUAAUCAGAUAUAGCAGCUAAUAGUUUGGAUGAUAUUUCCAUGUCCCAUCAUACUUACUCUUUUCGUUGCUUCAUCUCUUAGGCUUCUUAACAUUUCAAAUCUUGCAACUUUAAUAUUCUAUGAACACUUUUGAUGCUCGUCUCUACACCCUUUCUUUUUAUUUAAGGUGUUAUGGUGAAAAUUAUGUUAAACAUCCACAGGGAAGUAGAAGCUGCAAUAUAUGAGAAACAUAAGAUAUGUGGGCCCUUAUAUUCCUGAUGUUUGAGGACCAAGUACUUUUCCAAGAAAGCCCUACAUGGAGGUAAAGGGGGCAAUAUGACCAUGAAACACACUUUUGAUGAUGAGGACAAAGUCAAAUGGUUAAAUUUCAUGGUUCUUUAUAAGUUUAUAUUUCAAAUUGAAUUUGGAUUUGACCACAGUUUUGUGGUUCUAUUUAGAUAGCCCUGUCCAAAAUCAUCUCUGACCCAAUUAAAUACCUGGAAGAUCAGUACUAGUCAGCACUGGAAGCAGAAACCACAAUGACAGCCAACAAUAAAUAAUCUUCCAAAAAAAGCUUUUAAUGGUGACUUGGAGGACAACGUGAUGAAGACAAAAGGGAAGUUAUAUUUAUGUGUUGUCGUGGUACUUAUUUUAUUGCCUUUGUGCUUAUGGCUUAUUGCAGCCAGGAUAGUAGGACACAGAAAGCUAUGAAAGGAGGCAGCUGUUAAAUUACUUGUCUUUCAUAUAAAAUGAUAUGAAACUGGACUAGUUUUGCAUGCAGCUGCCACUUUGAUGGACCAAGAAAGCUCCAUACAUCACUUGUUGAAAAUCUGGUUUGAAAUUUUAUGAAAAUGGUUGUCACAAAAACUAUUGAAUGCAUCAUUCUGAAUUUUGGUGUGCAGCUUGAAUUAGGUGGACUGCAUGAGCAGAACAAAAAUGUAAUUAUUGAGGAAAUGAAGGCCCCAAAAGAGCAUCUCAGGUCAAGGUAUAUCUGGAAGGAUGUCAUGGAACAUUUUGCUAAAAGCUCAAUUCUUUUGCAGACUUCCUCUGCUGCUUCUUGAAAGUGUUUUAGGAAGGAGGAGAUAAUGAUCAUCAAUCACAUAUUCAGGAACCUGGUGUAGCUUAAUGUCAUUCUUAUUCAUUUUGACAUUGCUGUCACCAAUACAUAAAACCAAAAUAUGAGUUUGCUACAAGAUUGCCUCCUUAGAAGAGAGAGAUGGAAAACUGGCAUAUGUGAGAGGGAUCAGGUUCCUACUCCAGCUUGCAAGCAACCCCAGCAGCAGAGGAAUGCAAAGGAACUCAGCACCCCAGUGACACAAUUCCUCAUGAAUUGACUCACUUAUGGCUUUUUGAGUUCAGAGUUUGUGGCAUCAGAUUGCUGCAAAAUCCAUUCACAAAGAAUUUGAAGUGGUAGGUGUAUGAAUGAUCAUGAAUGUGAAAUUGUUUUAAGACAAAAUAUGAUCAUAUGCAUCCCCUGCAAGUUUGAAAAUCCAUCAAACACUUUCCCAAACUAUUUUACAUUUGUAGUUCUCCAUUAUUCUGCUAGAUGUGAAAAUAGAGUGCUGUCAAAUAGGCUGAUUCCAGGAUGGAAUUGCACUAAAUGUGGUAGAAAGAAAGGAGACUGAGAUCAUGUUUGAAAGAUA